rnacentral:rRNA from 1 species
UCCAGACUCCUACGGGAGGCAGCAGUGGGGAAUAUUGCACAAUGGGGGAAACCCUGAUGCAGCGACGCCGCGUGAGUGAAGAAGUAAUUCGUUAUGUAAAGCUCUAUCAGCAGGGAAGAAAAUGACGGUACCUGAGUAAGAAGCCCCGGCUAACUACGUGCCAGCAGCCGCGGUAAUACGUAGGGGGCGAGCGUUAUCCGGAUUCACUGGGUGUAAAGGGAGCGUAGGCGGCGAUGCAAGUCUGAAGUGAAAUCCCGGGGCUCAACCCCGGGACUGCUUUGGAAACUGUAUGGCUGGAGUGCUGGAGAGGCAAGCGGAAUUCCUAGUGUAGCGGUGAAAUGCGUAGAUAUUAGGAAGAACACCAGUGGCGAAGGCGGCUUGCUGGACAGUAACUGACGUUGAGGCUCGAAAGCGUGGGGAGCAAACAGGAUUAGAUACCCUUGUA